rnacentral:misc_RNA from 1 species
ACAAUUAAAAAAAAAAAAAGAAAAGUCUCAACAGGAAAUCUGCCCUAUCCUCUCUCUACGAAAAAGUUCCCGCCCUAAUCCUGAACAAAAACUAACCCCUUUGCCAUUCAGAAUUGAUGGAAUAUAUUGAAUGAAGAAAUGGAAUAUAUUGAAUAUAUUGAACCAGGCAGCAACUUCAAAAGAAAAAUGAAGAAAUGCGAAAACAGUAAGCAAGCUUAAUUUUCUCCUCGCCAAUGUUAGCCGAACGCCAUAAAACCUUAACUGAGAUUACUCGUUUUUCAAAUUAAAGCAUUGCUUUAAGGUAAAUUUUCUCUUCUAGGUCCAUUUGACUGUGUGGUGCCCAUCAAAGCCUAGGAGCUAAAUCGCAGCUCCUCAAGGACUCCUAAUGAAGACUAAUAAGGAAAAUUGGCUUGUGUACAGGAAGAGCACCAGACAUCCAAAUGCUUGUAGCAUUUAAACAAAGAAUAAUGGCAAGCACAAGCAAAUCAAGGGAAAUGAGGAAAUAGUCAGAUAGAACAUAAUCAUUUAGAAAAUUAAAUCAAAAGGGGUCAGAAAUCAGAAUGCACUUAAAAACUAUAAAUGAUCUAAACACCGUAAACAUUUAUAACAAAAACAAUGACAGAUAAAAAAAAAAGUAAAAAAGAUCUCUAAUAUGUAAAAUUCAAAUCUGAUUUCAAAUAGCUUUGCCCCCAUUUUAUUAAAAAAGGGAAGAUGAUACUUUAGCGUAAUUAUGUAAAACCCACAAAACCACAUCUUUGAAACAAAUCUACAACCACCAUUGCAUACAUACAACGGAAAGAAGAUUGAUCAGAUAGAGCUAAUAUGUUUGCCAUCAUUGCGGCGAUCAAACCAAUAGGGAAACAUAUUAUAAUCAUCAUUUCACCCUCAAUAAUUAAAAACCAAAGAUAACUAACAUAUAGUUCAGAACUCUCAAAUCUAAGUCAAAAGUUUAAGCAGUCAAGGGAUCAAGUCAUAAAACAAGAGAAUGAUCAGAUAGAGCUAAUACAUUGGAAGAUGCCAUCAUCACGGCUAUCAAACCAAUAGGGAAACAAACAUAAAUCAUCAUCUCAUUCUCACAAAAUCUUGACAAAUCAAUGACAUGACAUGAUUUAGGGUUUAAAACAAAGUUAGUAUAAUGUGAAAUGGAAUGAUCAGAUAGAGCUAAUACAUUGGAAGAUGCCAUCAUCACGGCUAUCAAACCAAUAGGGAAACAAACAUAAAUCAUCAUCUCAUUCUCACAAAAUCUUGACAAAUCAAUGACAUGACAUGAUUUAGGGUUUAAAACAAAGUUAGUAUAAUGUGAAAUG